rnacentral:rRNA from 1 species
CACGGGUGCGUAACACGUAUGUAAUCUGCCCAUCACUGGGGGAUAGCCCGGAGAAAUCCGGAUUAAUACCCCAUAAUAGUUGAAGAGGCAUCUCUUUGAUUUGAAAGUUCCGACGGUGAUGGAUGAACAUGCGACUGAUUAGUUUGUUGGUGAGGUAACGGCUCACCAAGACUACGAUCAGUAGGGGUACUGAGAGGUUAAACCCCCACACUGGUACUGAGACACGGACCAG